CAGAGCUGCAGUAACAUGAAGGAUUUUGUCUGCUUCAAAACAAAACAAGAAAAGAAAAAAGGAAGAAACCCUACUCCUGUGCAAUUAUAAAAACUUCUUCCCUGUGAGAUGAUGGCCUGGAUGACCAGAGGGCACUGGAGGGCAGGACGUAGUGGAUAAGUGUGGUUGAAGUGACAGGCACAUGUGUGAAGGAAAGCCUGGUUCCAACAAAGCACAGACCGUCUGCCUUGUGAAGGGAGAACAAAGCCUCUUCCAGCCAGGGGGAGUGGUGGCCAAGAGCUGGGGGAGGAUAUGAGGCAGACAGACCCACAGUGAAGAAUGUUGUGAU
rnacentral:lncRNA from 1 species